GAUGAAGAACGCAGCGAAAUGCGAUACGUAGUGUGAAUUGCAGAAUUCAGUGAAUCAUCGGAUCUUUGAACGCACAUUGCGCCCUUUGGUAUUCCAAAGGGCAUACCUGUUCGAGCGUCAUUUGUACCCUCAAGCUUUGCUUGGUGUUGGGCGUCUUGUCUCCAGUCCGCUGGAGACUCGCCUUAAAGUCAUUGGCAGCCGGCCUACUGGUUUCGGAGCGCAGCACAAGUCGCACUCUUUUCCAGCCAAGGUCAGUGUCCAACAAGCCUUUUUUCAACUUUUGACCUCGGAUCAGGUAGGGAUACCCGCUGAACUUAAGCAUAUCAAUAAGCGGAGGA
rnacentral:misc_RNA from 1 species